ensembl:snRNA U6 U6 spliceosomal RNA
AUGCUUGUUUUGGCAGCAUAUAUGCUGAAGUUGCAGUGAUGCAGAGGAACAUUAGCAUGGCUCCUGUGCAAGGGGACAUGCAAACUUGUGAAGCAUCCAUAUUUUUA